rnacentral:rRNA from 1 species
AUUGAACGCUGGCGGCAUGCUUUACACAUGCAAGUCGAACGGUAACAGGUCUUCGGAUGCUGACGAGUGGCGAACGGGUGAGUAAUGCAUCGGAACGUGCCCAGUCGUGGGGGAUAACGCAGCGAAAGCUGUGCUAAUACCGCAUACGAUCUAUGGAUGAAAGCGGGGGACCGUAAGGCCUCGCGCGAUUGGAGCGGCCGAUGUCAGAUUAGGUAGUUGGUGGGGUAAAGGCUCACCAAGCCAACGAUCUGUAGCUGGUCUGAGAGGACGACCAGCCACACUGGAACUGAGACACGGUCCAGACUCCUACGGGAGGCAGCAGUGGGGAAUUUUGGACAAUGGGCGCAAGCCUGAUCCAGCAAUGCCGCGUGCAGGAAGAAGGCCUUCGGGUUGUAAACUGCUUUUGUACGGAACGAAACGGUCUUGGUUAAUACCUGAGGCUAAUGACGGUACCGUAAGAAUAAGCACCGGCUAACUGCGUGCCAGCAGCCGCGGUAAUACGUAGGGUGCAAGCGCUAAUCGGAAUUACUGGGCGUAAAGCGUGCGCAGGCGGUUUUGUAGUUGCAGUCGUGAAAUCCCCGGGCUCAACCUGGGAAUGGCGAUUGUGACUGCAAAGC